rnacentral:rRNA from 2 species
AGUGGGGAAUAUUGGACAAUGGGGGGAACCCUGAUCCAGCCAUGCCGCGUGUGUGAAGAAGGCCUUUUGGUUGUAAAGCACUUUAAGCGAGGAGGAGGCUACCGAGAUUAAUACUCUUGGAUAGUGGACGUUACUCGCAGAAUAAGCACCGGCUAACUCUGUGCCAGCAGCCGCGGUAAUACAGAGGGUGCAAGCGUUAAUCGGAUUUACUGGGCGUAAAGCGCGCGUAGGUGGCCAAUUAAGUCAAAUGUGAAAUCCCCGAGCUUAACUUGGGAAUUGCAUUCGAUACUGGUUGGCUAGAGUAUGGGAGAGGAUGGUAGAAUUCCAGGUGUAGCGGUGAAAUGCGUAGAGAUCUGGAGGAAUACCGAUGGCGAAGGCAGCCAUCUGGCCUAAUACUGACACUGAGGUGCGAAAGCAUGGGGAGCAAA